UACAGAGGUGGCAAGCGUUGUUCGGAAUUACUGGGCGUAAAGGGCGCGUAGGCGGUCUUGUAAGUCCCGUGUGAAAUCCCUCGGCUCAACUGAGGAACUGCACGGGAAACUGCUUGGCUUGAGUUCGGGAGAGGGAAGCGGAAUUCCGGGUGUAGCGGUGGAAUGCGCAGAUAUCAGGAGGAACACCGAUGGCGAAGGCAGUUCUCUGGGCCGUAACUGACGCUGAGGAGCGAAAGCGUGGGGAGCGAACAGG
rnacentral:rRNA from 1 species